CCAAUAGCGUAUAUUAAAGUUGUUGUGGUUAAAAAGCUCGUAGUUGAACCUUGGGCCUGGCUGGCCGGUCCGCCUCACCGCGUGCACUGGUCCGGCCGGGCCUUUCCCUCUGCGGAACCCCAUGCCCUUCACUGGGUGUGGCGGGGAAACAGGACUUUUACUUUGAAAAAAUUAGAGUGCUCAAGGCAGGCCUAUGCUCGAAUACAUUAGCAUGGAAUAAUAGAAUAGGACGUGUGGUUCUAUUUUGUUGGUUUCUAGGACCGCCGUAAUGAUUAAUAGGGACAGUCGGGGGCAUCAGUAUUCAAUUGUCAGAGGUGAAAUUCUUGGAUUUAUUGAAGACUAACUACUGCGAAAGCAUUUGCCAAGGAUGUUUUCAUUAAUCAGGAACGAAAGUUAGGGGAUCGAAGACGAUCAGAUACCGUCGUAGUCUUAACCAUAAACUAUGCCGACUAGGGAUCGGACGAUGUUACAUUUUUGACGCGUUCGGCACCUUACG
rnacentral:rRNA from 1 species